AUUGAACGCUGGCGGCAUGCCUUACACAUGCAAGUCGAACGGCAGCACGGGGCAACCUGGUGGCGAGUGGCGAACGGGUGAGUAAUGCAUCGGAACGUGCCAUUGAGUGGGGGAUAACGUAGCGAAAGUUGCGCUAAUACCGCAUAUUCUGUGAGCAGGAAAGCAGGGGACCGCAAGGCCUUGCGCUCUUUGAGCGGCCGAUGUCAGAUUAGCUAGUUGGUGAGGUAACGGCUUACCAAGGCGACGAUCUGUAGCGGGUCUGAGAGGAUGAUCCGCCGCACUGGGACUGAGACACGGCCCAGACUCCUACGGGAGGUAGCAGUGGGGAAUUUUGGACAAUGGGCGCAAGCCUGAUCCAGCCAUGCCGCGUGAGUGAAGAAGGCC
rnacentral:rRNA from 1 species